CUGCUUGAGGUCGGAUGCGGAGGUGAAUGUGACGGAGGUGGAAUCGUCACUGGAGCCUCAUCCAAACACCUGCAAAACAAGUCCACACCAGGGGAUUUACUCCAAUGUAGACCCUCCAAUGCUUAAAUCAGAAGAUGGAUAAUGAUAAGAGAAGAGAGUGAAUAGUUAAUUUGAUUGCAUAUCUUGGAGGAUCCUAGAGCCUUUAUUUAUAGGAGAGGAGUUUGA
rnacentral:lncRNA from 1 species